GUGAGGAAUAUUGGUCAAUGGACGGAAGUCUGAACCAGCCAUGCCGCGUGAAGGAUGGCGGCCCUAUGGGUUGUAAACUUCUUUUGUGACAGAGCAAUAAGGUCUACGAGUAGACCGAUGAGAGUAUGCCACGAAUAAGCAUCGGCUAACUCCGUGCCAGCAGCCGCGGUAAUACGGAGGAUGCAAGCGUUAUCCGGAUUUAUUGGGUUUAAAGGGUGCGUAGGCUGUGCGUCAAGUCAGCGGUGAAAGACCGGGGCCCAACCUCGGAAGUGCCGUUGAUACUGUCGCGCUGGAGUACCCAUGCCGUGGGAGGAAUGAGUGGUGUAGCGGUGAAAUGCAUAGAUAUCACUCAGAACACCGAUUGCGAAGGCAUCUCACGAAUGGGGGACUGACGCUGAGGCACGAAAGCGUGGGGAUCAAACAGG
rnacentral:rRNA from 1 species